GACGAACGCUGGCGGCGUGCCUAACACAUGCAAGUCGAGCGAAUGAAGUUCCUUCGGGACUGGAUUUAGCGGCGGACGGGUGAGUAACACGUGGGCAACCUGCCUCAUAGAGGGGAAUAGCCUCCCGAAAGGGAGAUUAAUACCGCAUAAGAUUGUAGUACCGCAUGAUACAGCAAUUAAAGGAGCAAUCCGCUAUGAGAUGGGCCCGCGGCGCAUUAGCUAGUAGGUGAGGUAAUGGCUCACCAAGGCGACGAUGCGUAGCCGACCUGAGAGGGUGAUCGGCCACAUUGGGACUGAGACACGGCCCAGACUCCUACGGGAGGCAGCAGUGGGGAAUAUUGCACAAUGGGGGAAACCCUGAUGCAGCAACGCCGCGUGAGUGAUGACGGCCUUCGGGUUGUAAAGCUCUGUCUUCAGGGACGAUAAUGACGGUACCUGAGGAGGAAGCCACGGCUAACUACGUG
rnacentral:rRNA from 1 species